rnacentral:lncRNA from 1 species
UGGUGGGCAUGAAAAGGAUCGGCUAACAAGGUUGGCCCUAAUUGGUUUGAUUUUUAUUUUUUUAUUUUUAUUUUUUUUGCUUCUAGCUAGUUGAUAGGGAGAUCCCUUUUUCCUUUUUCCUGAGACAUUACUUUUUCCUCUUCUUUUGUUUUUUUCUUUUUUUUGUUUUUUCUCUUUUCAACUUUUUUUACGACACAUUGAAAAGUCACUUCGCCUUAUCGCAAAAUUAAACUUUAUGAAAAUUUGAACAAUCAUUGUCCAAUCUGUGUGGGCUUUAUUAGGCUUGUA